rnacentral:tRNA from 1 species
GGGGCCGUAGUGUAAUGGCAGCACAGCGAACUUUUAAUUCGUCAAGCGCGGGUUCGAGCCCCGCUGGCCCCA